rnacentral:rRNA from 1 species
ACUCCUACGGGAGGCAGCAGUAGGGAAUCUUCCGCAAUGGACGAAAGUCUGACGGAGCAACGCCGCGUGAGUGAUGAAGGCUUUCGGGUCGUAAAACUCUGUUGUUAGGGAAGAACAAGUACAAGAGUAACUGCUUGUACCUUGACGGUACCUAACCAGAAAGCCACGGCUAACUACGUGCCAGCAGCCGCGGUAAUACA